rnacentral:rRNA from 2 species
UUGACCUCGGAUCAGGUAGGGAUACCCGCUGAACUUAAGCAUAUCAAUAAGCGGAGGAAAAGAAACCAACAGGGAUUGCCCUAGUAACGGCGAGUGAAGCGGCAAGAGCUCAAAUUUGAAAUCUGGCCCCUCCGGGGUCCGAGUUGUAAUUUGCAGAGGAUGCUUCGGGUGCGGUCCCCAUCUAAGUGCCCUGGAACGGGCCGUCAUAGAGGGUGAGAAUCCCGUCUGGGAUGGGUGGCCGUGCCCGUGUGAAGCUCCUUCGACGAGUCGAGUUGUUUGGGAAUGCAGCUCUAAAUGGGUGGUAAAUUUCAUCUAAAGCUAAAUAUUGGCCGGAGACCGAUAGCGCACAAGUAGAGUGAUCGAAAGAUGAAAAGCACUUUGAAAAGAGAGUUAAACAGCACGUGAAAUUGUUGAAAGGGAAGCGCUUGCGACCAGACUCGCCCGCGGGGGUUCAGCCGGUACUCGUACCGGUGUAUUCCCCCGUGGGCGGGCCAGCGUCGGUUUGGGCGGCCGGUCAAAGGCCCCCGGAAUGUGUCGCCUCUCGGGGCGUCUUAUAGCCGGGGGUGCAAUGCGGCCAGCCUGGACCGAGGAACGCGCUUCGGCACGGACGCUGGCGUAAUGGUCGUAAGCG